rnacentral:tRNA from 1 species
GCAGCUGUAGCUCAGGUGGUUAGAGCGCGUCGCUGAUAACGACGAGGUCCCAGGUUCGAGUCCUGGCAGCUGCACCC